rnacentral:tRNA from 1 species
GGGCCAGUAGCUCAGCUGGUAAGAGCACCGUCCUUAUAAGACGGAAGUCGCGGGUUCAAGCCCCGCCUGGCCCACAA